rnacentral:rRNA from 1 species
AGUCAAGUAAUUAAGUGCAUGUGGUGGAUGCCUUGGCAGUCAGAGGCGAUGAAAGACGUGAUAGCCUGCGAAAAGCUCCGGGGAGGCGGCAAAUAUCCUUUGAUCCGGAGAUGUCUGAAUGGGGGAACCCACCUACUUUAAGGUAGGUAUUGCAACAUGAAUACAUAGUGUUGCAAGGCGAACGAGGGGAAGUGAAACAUCUCAGUACCCUUAGGAAAAGAAAUCAAUUGAGAUUCCCUCAGUAGCGGCGAGCGAACGGGGAUCAGCCCAUUAAGUUAUGUGUGUUUUAGUGGAACGCUCUGGGAAGUGCGAACGUAGAGGGUGAUAUUCCCGUACACGAAAGGGCACACAUAAUGAUGACGAGUAGGGCGAGGCACGUGAAACCUUGUCUGAAUAUGGGGGGACCAUCCUCCAAGGCUAAAUACUCCUGACUGACCGAUAGUGAACCAGUACCGUGAGGGAAAGGCGAAAAGAACCCCUGUGAGGGGAGUGAAAUAGAUCCUGAAACCGCAUGCAUACAAGCAGUGGGAGCACCUUCGUGGUGUGACUGCGUACCUUUUGUAUAAUGGGUCAGCGACUUAUAUUCAGUAGCGAGGUUAACCGUAUAGGGGAGCCGUAGAGAAAUCGAGUCUUAAUAGGGCGUUUAGUUGCUGGGUAUAGACCCGAAACCAGGCGAUCUAUCCAUGAGCAGGUUGAAGGUUGGGUAACACUAACUGGAGGACCGAACCCACUGUCGUUGAAAAGCCAGGGGAUGACUUGUGGAUAGGGGUGAAAGGCUAAUCAAGCCUGGUGAUAGCUGGUUCUCCCCGAAAGCUAUUUAGGUAGCGCCUCGGACGAAUACCAUAGGGGGUAGAGCACUGUUUCGGCUAGGGGGUCAUCCCGACUUACCAAACCGAUGCAAACUCCGAAUACCUAUGAGUACUAUCCGGGAGACAGACUGCGGGUGCUAACGUCCGUAGUCAAGAGGAAAACAAUCCAGACCGCCAGCUAAGGCCCCAAAAUCAUAGUUAAGUGGGAAACGAUGUGGGAAGGCAUAGACAGCUAGGAGGUUGGCUUAGAAGCAGCCACCCUUUAAAGAAAGCGUAAUAGCUCACUAGUCGAGUCGGCCUGCGCGGAAGAUGU